CAGCCGCCACGGGAAUACGAAGGGGGCUAGCGUUGUUCGGAUUUACUGGGCGUAAAGGGCGCGUAGGCGGACUGAUAAGUCAGGGGUGAAAUCCCAAGGCUCAACCUUGGAACUGCCUUUGAUACUGUUUGUCUUGAGUUCGAGAGAGGUAAGUGGAACUGCGAGUGUAGAGGUGAAAUUCGUAGAUAUUCGCAAGAACACCAGUGGCGAAGGCGGCUUACUGGCUCGAAACUGACGCUGAGGCGCGAAAGCGUGGGGAGCAAACAGGAUUAGAUACCCGAGUAGUCCCUGUCUCUUAUAU
rnacentral:rRNA from 1 species